GGCUCAGGAUUAACGCUAGCGGCAGGCCUAAUACAUGCAAGUCGAACGGCAGCGGGUGUAGCAAUACAUGCCGGCGAGUGGCGCACGGGUGCGUAACGCGUAUGCAAUCUACCUAUAACUGGGGAAUAGCUCUCGGAAACGGGAAUUAAUACCGCAUAACAUCACGAAACGGCAUCGUUUUGUGAUCAAAACUCAGGUGGUUAUAGAUGAGCAUGCGUGACAUUAGCUAGUUGGUGAGGUAACGGCUCACCAAGGCGACGAUGUCUAGGGGGUCUGAGAGGAUGAUCCCCCACACUGGUACUGAGACACGGACCAGACUCCUACGGGAGGCAGCAGUAAGGAAUAUUGGACAAUGGCCGCAAGGCUGAUCCAGCCAUGCCGCGUGCAGGAUGAAGGAGCUAUGCUUUGUAAACUGCUUUUGUUCGGGAAUAAACCCCUCUACGUGUAGAGGGUUGAAUGUACCGAAAGAAUAAGGGUCGGCUAACUUCGUGCCAGCAGCCGCGGUAAUACGAAGGACCCAAGCGUUAUCCGGAUUUAUUGGGUUUAAAGGGUGCGUAGGCGGGUUAUUAAGUCAGUGGUGAAAGCCUACAGCUUAACUGUAGAAUUGCCAUUGAUACUGAUAAUCUUGAGUGUGGUUGAGGCGGGCGGAAUGUGUCAUGUAGCGGUGAAAUGCUUAGAUAUGACACAGAACACCGAUUGCGAAGGCAGCUCGCUAAGCCAAUACUGACGCUGAUGCACGAAAGCGUGGGGAGCAAACAGGAUUAGAUACCCUGGUAGUCCACGCCCUAAACGAUGAUCACUCGAUGUGUGCGAUACACUGUACGCGUCUGAGCGAAAGCAUUAGGUGAUCCACCUGGGGAGUA
rnacentral:rRNA from 1 species